rnacentral:rRNA from 1 species
GACGAACGCUGGCGGCGUGCUUUCACAUGCAAGUCGAACGGAAAGGCCCUGCUUUUGUGGGGUGCUCGAGUGGCGAACGGGUGAGUAACACGUGAGUAACCUGCCCUUGACUUUGGGAUAACUUCAGGAAACUGGGGCUAAUACCGGAUAGGAGCUCCUGCUGCAUGGUGGGGGUUGGAAAGUUUCGGCGGUUGGGGAUGGACUCGCGGCUUAUCAGCUUGUUGGUGGGGUAGUGGCUUACCAAGGCUUUGACGGGUAGCCGGCCUGAGAGGGUGACCGGCCACAUUGGGACUGAGAUACGGCCCAGACUCCUACGGGAGGCAGCAGUGGGGAAUAUUGCACAAUGGGCGGAAGCCUGAUGCAGCAACGCCGCGUGCGGGAUGACGGCCUUCGGGUUGUAAACCGCUUUCGCCUGUGACGAAGCGUGAGUGACGGUAAUGGGUAAAGAAGCACCGGCUAACUACGUGCCAGCAGCCGCGGUGAUACGUAGGGUGCGAGCGUUGUCCGGAUUUAUUGGGCGUAAAGGGCUCGUAGGUGGUUGAUCGCGUCGGAAGUGUAAUCUUGGGGCUUAACCCUGAGCGUGCUUUCGAUACGGGUUGACUUGAGGAAGGUAGGGGAGAAUGGAAUUCCUGGUGGAGCGGUGGAAUGCGCAGAUAUCAGGAGGAACACCAGUGGCGAAGGCGGUUCUCUGGGCCUUUCCUGACGCUGAGGAGCGAAAGCGUGGGGAGCGAACAGGCUUAGAUACCCUGGUAGUCCACGCUGUAAACGGUGGGUACUAGGUGUGGGGUCCAUUCCACGGGUUCCGUGCCGUAGCUAACGCUUUAAGUACCCCGCCUGGGGAGUACGGCCGCAAGGCUAAAACUCAAAGGAAUUGACGGGGCCCCGCACAAGCGGCGGAGCAUGCGGAUUAAUUCGAUGCAACGCGUAGAACCUUACCUGGGUUUGACAUGGAUCGGGAGUGCUCAGAGAUGGGUGUGCCUCUUUUGGGGUCGGUUCACAGGUGGUGCAUGGCUGUCGUCAGCUCGUGUCGUGAGAUGUUGGGUUAAGUCCCGCAACGAGCGCAACCCUUGUUCACUGUUGCCAGCACGUUAUGGUGGGGACUCAGUGGAGACCGCCGGGGUCAACUCGGAGGAAGGUGGGGAUGACGUCAAGUCAUCAUGCCCCUUAUGUCCAGGGCUUCACGCAUGCUACAAUGGCUGGUACAGAGAGUGGCGAGCCUGUGAGGGUGAGCGAAUCUCGGAAAGCCGGUCUCAGUUCGGAUUGGGGUCUGCAACUCGACCUCAUGAAGUCGGAGUCGCUAGUAAUCGCAGAUCAGCAACGCUGCGGUGAAUACGUUCCCGGG